rnacentral:lncRNA from 1 species
UACUUGCUGCUGUCAGAUUCAAACAAACAAAAAUUACUCAGAAAAACAAAGCUUUAUUCAGAGCCAUGUUGUUAUGGGUUGAAUUGCAUCUCCCUAAAAUUCAUAUGUUUAAGUCCUAGCCCCCAGUACCUCAGAAUGUGACCCUAUUUGGGAAUGAGUUUGUUGCAGACAUAAUUAGUUAAGAUGAGGUCAUAGUGGAAUAGGGUGUGUCCUACUUCGGUAUGACUGGUGUUCUUAUAAAAAGGGGAAGUUUGGACAUAGAGACACAAAUACACAAGGAAAGCUCCAUGGAAGAUAAAGGCAGAGAUUUACAAGCCAAGGAAUGUCAAAGACGGCCAGCACACCACCAGAAGCUAGCAGAGAGGUAUGGAACAGAUUCUUCUUCACAACCUCAGAGGGAAAACCCUGCUGAUACCUGGAUUUCAAACUCCUGGCCUCCAGAACGAGACGGGGUUUUACCACGUUAGCCGGGCUGGUCUUGAACUCCUGACCUCAGGUGAUCCACCCGCCUCGAUCGCCCAUUAUUAACAAUCAAAUGGCUGUUCUUCAUGGUACUGGUACAAAAACAGAUAUAUACACCAAUGGAACAGAACAGAGGCCUCAGAAACAACACCACACAUCUACAACCAUCUGAUCUUUGACAAACCUGACAAAAACAAGCAAUGAAGAAAGGAUUCCCUAUUUAAUAAAUGGUGUUGGGAAAACUGGCUAGCCAUAUGCAGAAAACUGAAACUGGACCCCUUCCUUACACCUUAUACAAAAAUUAACUCAAGAUGGACUAAAGAUUUAAACAUAAGACCUAAAACAAUAAAAACCCUAGAAGAAAACCUAGGCAUUACCAUUCAGGACAUAGACAUGGGCAAAGACUUAAUGACUAAAACACCAAAAGCAAUGGCAACAAAAGCCAAAACUGACAAAUGAGAUCUAAUUAAACUAAAGAGCUCCUGCAUAGCAAAAGAAACUAUCAUCAGAGUGAACAGGCAACCUACAGAAUGGAAGAAAAUUUUUGCAAUCUAUCCAUCUAACAAAGGGCUAAUAUCCAGAAUCUACAAGGAACUUAAACAAAUUUACAAGAAAAAACAACCCCAUCAAAAAGUGGGCAAAGGAUAUGAACAGACACUUUUCAAAAGAAGACAUUUAUGCAGCCAACAAACAUGAAAAAAAGCUCAUCAUCACGUCAUUAGAGAAAUGCAAAUCAAAACCACAAUGAGAUACCAUCUCACGCCAGUUAGAAUGGCGAUCAUUAAAAUGUCAGGAAACAACAGAUGCUGGAGAGGAUGUGGAGAAAUAGGAAUGCUUUUACACUGCUGGUGGGACUGUAAACUAGUUCAACCAUUGUGGAAGAGAGUGUGGCAGUUCCUCAAGGAUCUAGAACUAGAAAUACCAUUUGACCCAGAAAUCCCAUUACUGGGUAUAUACCAUAAGGAUUAUAAACGAUUCUACUAUAAAGACACACGCACAAGUAUGUUUAUUGCAGCACUAUUCACAAUAGCAAAUAAUUGGAACCAACCGAAAUGCCCAUCAAUGAUAGACUAGAUAAAGAAAAUGUGGUACAUAUACACCAUGGAAUACUAUGUAGCCACAAAAAAGAGUGAGUUUAUGUCCUUUGCAGGGACAUUGAUGAAGCUGGAAGCCAUCAUUCUCAGCAAACUAACACAAGAACAGAAAACCAAACACUGCAUGUUCUCACUCGUAAGUGGGAAUUGAAUAAUGAGAACAUAU